UUGCAGACGACUUGAAUGGGAACGAGGUACUGUAAGCGGUAGAGUAGCCUUGUUGCUACGAUCCGCUGAGGUUAAGCCUGUGUUCUAAAGAUUUGU
rnacentral:rRNA from 1 species